rnacentral:siRNA from 1 species
GCAGAUUGGAGAAAGCGGGUCAUU